rnacentral:pre_miRNA from 1 species
AAAGUACUCCCUCCGUCCCAAAAUUCUUGUCUAAGAUUUUUCUAGAUACGGAUGUAUCAAGUCACAUUUUAGUAUUAGAUACAUCCGUAUCUAGACAAAUCUAAGACAAGAAAUUUGGGACAGAGGGAGUAGUUG